CCCGCUGAACUUAAGCAUAUCAAUAAGCGGAGGAAAAGAAACUAACAAGGAUUCCCUUAGUAGCGGCGAGCGAAGCGGGAAGAGCUCAAAUUUGAAAGCUGGCGUCCUACGGGCGUCCGCAUUGUAAUCUAUAGAGGCGUUUUCUGUGCUGGACCGUGUCCAAGUCCCUUGGAACAGGGUAUCAAAGAGGGUGACAAUCCCGUACUUGACACGACAACCAGUGCUCUGUGAUACGCCUUCUACGAGUCGAGUUGUUUGGGAAUGCAGCUCAAAAUGGGUGGUGAAUUCCAUCUAAAGCUAAAUAUUGGCGAGAGACCGAUAGCGAACAAGUACCGUGAGGGAAAGAUGAAAAGCACUUUGGAAAGAGAGUUAAACAGUAUGUGAAAUUGUUGAAAGGGAGACGAUGGAGGUCAGUCGUGUCUGUGGGAUUCAGCCGUCUCUGGCGGUGUACUUCCCACAGACGGGUCAACAUCAGUUUUGGCUGGCGGAUAAAGGCAGGAGGAAGGUGGCACCCCCGGGUGUGUUAUAGCCUCUUGUUGCAUACGCUGGCUGAGACUGAGGAAUGCAGCUCGCCUUUAUGGCCGGGGUUCGCCCACGUUCGAGCUUAGGAUGUUGACAUAAUGGCCUUCAACGACCCGUCUUGAAACACGG
rnacentral:rRNA from 1 species